GGCCAGUUAGCUCGGUUGGUUAGAGCGUGGUGCUGGUAACACCAAGGCCUCGGGUUCGAUCCCCGCUUGGUCC
rnacentral:tRNA from 1 species